ACAGUGCAUCCAGUCUAGAGAGUAGAAUACAAAAAUUGGUGAGUAGUUGUACUUAGAUGUAUCUCAAGAUUGGAACAUUUCUAAGAAAUUGUGCUGAUACCAUUGUAUAGGUAAAAGAAUAAGCUACAACAUGAUUCAAAAAUAUUUCCCCAAAAGUUGUUGUAGUGGGAAAUAAUUUUAGGAGAUAAUGGGGGUGAUCGUAAAAAAAUGUACGUAACAUCAAUUAUUUCUGGAACUAAAGUAUUUUUUAGAAAAAUUUUUCUUAUCAAAAGUUAGACAAUUUAUUCAAGCUUACUCCAUGUAAUUUUUAGACCUUAGCCGUGAGAUUUUCUUCAAAUCUCUCCCUAACCGAAACGGCACUAAAAACUAGCAAUUUUGAGCACUGCGGAGGAUGUGUAGAUAUUUAAGUAACAUCAAAUCUUUCAUAAGAUAGCCAAACUAUCUAUAGAUGUUGUGACAAAGUUCCAAACCUUAGCCGGAAACUGUUGGCCUUUUCUCUCCCUAACCGAUUACUCACUAUAACAAUUGGGUACUGUUUUAUUAAUCGCCACAAACCCACCACCUUAUGUUGUCAUGGAAACAAUUUUGGAUAUGUUGUAGCUUAUUCAUUCGCCUACACAAUGGUAUCAGCAGAUUUUCUUAGAAAUGUUCCAAUCAUAAGAUAUUUACAUUUAAGUACAACUACUCACACAUUUUUGGUAUUCUACUCUUUAGACUGGAUGCACUGUAUAUAUAUAUAUAUAAAUGAUUAUUCAAGUGACUAUUCUAUAGUUGUUAAAGAAUGAAACUUCUUGCAAAGCCGUGAGCCAGUGACUUAUUGUGGGAUCUAGUGCAUGUAUCAUGAGUCAUUAAACUUGAUGCAAUCAGUUGUGUCUGAGAUCAUGGGGUAUGUAGACUCGAUUCCAGUAUAGAGGUAUUUUAAUACACUGGAAACUUCAUCCAACAUUGCUGUAUACACACUCCAUAUUUGCGAACAAGUUUCAGAAUCAGCCCUAGCCUCGAUCCCAGGCCGAUCCGUCUCCAAUUGAACGCUAGGUCGCCUCCUCGGUCUGGUAUUGAUUGUAUCUGGGCGUGUAUCUGGGCGCGGCCGGGCAUGUGCUGUGGUUGCUGUGGUUGCUCAGGUAUUCGCUCAAAAAGAGCGAAUACCUGAGCAAGGUGGAGCGAAUAGAAACACUAAUUGGGGCGAGCGAAGCGAGUCCCUUAUAGUUAGUCAUGCACAUGGUCCGUGGUAUGUAUGUAUGUAUGUAUGUCCACCGUGGACCGGCAGGCCGGCAUGGACCGGCAUACGAUAUUUGUUUUUCUAACUCGUGAUCCUUUACCAAUUUCUACGUGAGUCAAUAACUUUAGCUCGAUAAAGAUAUGAAUAGCGACAAAACUAGCGAUAAGGAGGAACAGCUAAAAAGAGGGAACUUGCUAGACCCAGAGAAAGAUACAGGGCACACAGGAGCAGCAGGAAGUGAAGGUAACUGACUCAAACGGUUCUGCAGGUGUUUGCCUAACAUAAAUAAAUGUUGUGUAGAAAGUGCACAAGCCAGCAGAAAGUGGCCAAAUGUUCAUUACACUUACAGAGACUCCAGAGGCCACACAGGCACGCUUGAAGCAAUUAAUACAUGCAGGCAUAGGCAUACAGAGUGAAUCCCGACAUGCCUCUAUUCGAACAAUCUACUGUUCAAUCCAAGAUGCUGUUUAUAUCUGCAGUCAUGCCAAUAAUGUCCAUCUAUCGAUUACCACUUGGACAAUAUGAAUACGCAGGCCAUGUCAUCAACCUGCCACAAAAUGUGGUGUCAUUUGCACAAUAUCUUUCAGCAGAGUUGCAUGGAUGCGUCGCUUGCCCCAUGGCGCUUGCGUCACCCUAGUAGUGUAUGUAAGCAUAUUUACUCCGUAAAAUCACCGUUAAAUCACAAAGAACUCCGUGUCAUAGGUCUAUUCUUUGCAAGUUUAGAUUAGGCUUAGCUAGAGUGUGAGGAGCUGUCUUGUGCGAAGGAAGAAGGAGCAUCACUCUUAUGAAAGAACAGACCUAGGUUCUCAAGUUUCUGCAAUCAGUUGGCUACCUUUGAUUGACUACACAAUUUAAUACAAGCGCUUGAUUAGACCAUUGAUUGCCAGAUACACUUGUUAGAGUCUAUCCUCAGACUCUGGCCAUCGAUCUCUUGUAUACUAUGCACAGGGGUGUCCACAAGUGGCUGGGCCUGGGAUGUAUUGUCAAGCCUAUAUAGCCCCAAUCCUUGGUAUCUGGAUUAAGAUAUGACAUUACGGCACUGGAACUGGUGUUGUGUUAGCCUCCUUCACCGGCCUUCAAGGAAGUGCGGCCUGGGAUCGAGGCUAGUUUUGUGUGGACCAUCAAUGAGUAAAAUGGAACCUUCCCCUCCAACCCCUGUCGUACUCCUCCUAGCUGAUGUGUGUGAACUCAUUGAAAGAGGAUGCCCCAGUGCCACUCGUAUCCUUCCCAAGGGGCCGAUCUUAUAGAACUACCUGCACUAAAACUACUGACGUGGAAUGGCUCUUUCAACACUUAUGGUUGCUAUCCUGACCAGUGACGUCAGGAUUCUACAGUUUCUUGAUGCACUGUGAACACACAAUCUUUGUUAUGCCACCUGAAGGCUUAGCAGGCAUAUCCAACGCAGAAGUUUUUCUGGAAGCUCUUGUUUGAGAUCUUCGCUUCUAAACAUCUGCAUUUAUUAUGGACGCAGUACUACUCUACAGAGUAUUAACUUCUAGUGUCAUUAUAUCAUUAUAUCACUGUAUUUUUAGCCAACUGUUGAACUGAAGAUUUUACAGUACAUAGCAUUACUCUUGAUACUUACCAGUUUCGGUCACGCCCAGAUACAAUCAAUACCAGGCCGAGGAGGCGACUUAGCGUUCAAUUGGAGACAGAUCGGCCUGGGAUCGAGGCUAAAUCAGCCCAUGAUUCUGUAAAACCCUGUUAUCUGAUUUUUCCGGACCAUUGAAUUAGUGCACUCAAUACAUAGAAAUUCCAUGCAACCUACACAUUGUAUAGAGCUACUCUAGGAUUGAACAAGAUUAGGCAGGCUAACAACUUUUUAUUAAACAGUAAAAGUGGACCAUGAGUUAGAACACAAAGUGUGAUCAACAGACAGGAAACAAUAACGAAUAAGAUAUAAAUUCCAUGCAUACUAACCACAAACACACAUUUUGUACAUUAACUAUACUUGCGGCUAAUAACUAUACAGACAGCUUUCCUAUAGAGGUUGCCUAAUUGCUCCCUAAUUGAAGUGUUAUUUAUGUAAUGCAUGCCAUGAAUUUAAAAACAGCAUAUUUUAAAUUAAGCUUCCAUGUGAUAGUAUAGGAGGGUAAGUACACAUGCACAUCUGUCACAUGGGCCGAGCGAUAUACAUGCAUGGACAAAUUAUGAAAUCUCCCACAGUACAUGCUUUUACAGAUGAUCACUUUCACUGUACCUUAAAACCUGUUAUUCGAGCACUGACAUGUUUCUCCACAGAAAACGAGAUUGAUGCAUGGGGAGGCCUUCUUAGAGCUAACAUUAUAUAUACAGUCACUAUAAUAUAGUCCCUAACAAGCUAGGUAUAUGGUUAAGAAAACUUGCCGCCUGGUGAAGACUGCACUGCACUCUGCACUGGAGGUACCGUAAAGUAAUUUAAAGUAAAGGUGCCACAAAAUUCUCAUUAUAGAACGGUGAAAACACAUUAUCAGCCUCAAGUGCCAGUUUUUGCAACUGGUCCUAUUUAGAGUGUUAUACCUGACGGUAUAGACUAGCUCACUUAUAGCCAGUCCUACAUCCAGAAUUAAGGGAAGAGACCGGCAUGCAGAAUCUGGUUUCUGGUUCAUCUCUACAUUAUUUUUAAUUCAUAUACAUGCAUGGAUGUUGAGAGAUGUACACGAAAAUGUAUGCAUACAUGAUCUUAUAGGAGAAGGAAGUUAUAUUGAAUAAUUAUGUGCAACAUAAUC